rfam:TPA: Bos taurus chromosome 20, whole genome shotgun sequence.
UAGCUCAGACGGUAAAGCAUCUGCCUGCAAUGCAGGAGACCUGGGUUCAAUCCCUG